rnacentral:rRNA from 1 species
UACAGAGGUGCGAGCGUUUGUCCGGAAUUACUGGGCGUAAAGGGCGCGUAGGCGGCCUGAUAAGUAUGGGGUGAAAUCUCACGGCUCAACCGUGAGGCUGCCUUUGUAGACUGUCAGGCUUGAGCACGGUAGAGGCAGAUGGAAUUCCCGGUGUAGCGGUGGAAUGCGUAGAGAUCGGGAAGAACACCAGUGGCGAAGGCGGUCUCUGGGCCGUAGCUGACGCUGAGGCGCGACAGCUGGGGAGGCAAACAG